AGGGAUCAUUACCGAACGGCCCCCCCGGGGCCUUCGAACCUCGAACCCGUGGAAGCGACCCGUGCUUCGGCGCCCCGGCGCCGUAUCGAUGCAGGAAUCCGUGUCGUCUGAAUCCGAAAUUCGAAUGAAAACUUUCAACAAAGGAUCUCUUGGCUCUC
rnacentral:misc_RNA from 1 species